GAAACGGAGAGUUUGAUCCUGGCUCAGGAUGAACGCUGGCGGUAUGCUUAACACAUGCAAGUCGAACGGUCUCUUCGGAGAUAGUGGCGGACGGGUGAGUAACGCGUG
rnacentral:rRNA from 2 species